GAAACCUUGGGGGGGAGGGUGUGUGUGUGUGUAAGGCAGUGGUCCCCAAACUUUUCCUCUAUGGAAUAGAAUGUAUCCGUGUCCCCCCUGGGCUGGGAGCAGAGUUGCAGUUGUGGCCAGGGGCUGGCAACUGGGGCUGCAGCUGCAGCUGGGGGUGGAACUGGAGCAGAGCCGGGGACAGAGCAGGAUUGAGUGGUGCUCCCUCCCCGCCCUCUUGUGGGGACUGGCCUGUGCCCCCCAGAUAUUCCUCCAUGCCCCCUACGGGGGUGUGCCCCACAGUUUGGGGACCACUGGCCUAGGUAGUAUCUUCAGAGCUUAUGGUGGCAUAAGCCCAAAUGAUGAUAGCUGUGCCAACAGAAGCACUGAGUCUACACUGGGAUUUUUGUAAGCAUAGCUAUGUCACUGGGGGGUAGUUUUUCACACCCCUCACAUAGCUAUGCUGAUACAGGUUUUAAGUGUAGACUUGGCUUAAGUAUUUAACAGGUUAUACUUGUCAUAGACCUGUUGUGCUCCCCUUCCCUCCCUCCCACAAAGAACACCCAGGGUGGUGCAUAUCUGGUGGCAAAGUUAAGAUACUCUAGUUUUGUAUUUCCAUACUUUUCAGUGUGUUUUUGCAAGUGUAAACCUAAUUUUCUGAAUUUCCUUGCUUUUGAGUUACUGUAUCUGCUUUAAAGUAGCCUGCUUUUUUUCUACCUUAAGUUAGGCUUUGUCUACGCUAGCACUUUUCUGGGAAAACUUGUCGACCUAAUUAUGUCAGUGUCUACACUACAGCCUUGUCCUGCUGAUGUAAGUGCACUACAACACUGGCGUAAUAACUCCAUCUACAUGAGAGGCGCAGGGCGUAUGUCUGUAGUUAGGGUGCUGUAGUGUCUGUGUAGAUACUGUUACUUACCUCUGUUAGCUCUCUUGUCAAUUUCACUGGAGCUGUGUAAUUGUCGACAAAGCCUGGCAGCUAGAGCCCAGCUGCUCCCUUGGAGAGCAGGGCAGCUGGAUCCUGCUCUCCCCUAUCCCCCGCUCCCAGCAGGGAACGGGGAUGCAAGGGCAGGGAAAGCCCGCCAGGAGCCUAUGGGAAUGACAGGAGCCAGCACUGUGGGGUGGGCUUGCUUUCCAACCCCCCACUUCCCCACACACUGGGACUCCACUCUCCAGCCCUCUUUUCAUGGCUUAAUCUUUUUCCCAUACCUCUGCC